UCUCCCCAGGAACUCUUGGAAUAGGCAGAAUGUCCCAGACUGGGUGAUAAAUUCCUUCCCACCCAGAAUAGUCUUGGCAUUUCAUUGCCCUGCACAGAAUGUGACUCGUCUUUAUCAAACCCCCUGCAGGUCUGGUGGACUGGGAAGACCGAGAGGAGGAGCCAGUCAAAAAGAAAUCUGAUGGACCAGUACACAGCACAGGAGCAACACCUCUGGUCCCUGUGCUGUACGCAGACCUCCAGACACAAGACACACUCCAGGCCACACACUCGGACCCCUGGCCCAGCUUCCCGCCCGCCCGCCUCCCG
rnacentral:lncRNA from 1 species